rnacentral:misc_RNA from 1 species
AAGUCGUAACAAGGUCUCCGUUGGUGAACCAGCGGAGGGAUCAUUAUAGGACUCGCAAGACUCCCGUAAACCACUGUGAACCUACCCAUCGUUGCCUCGGCGGGCGCCCGGGCUCAGCGCUCGGCCCGCCGGCGGCCCCCUUACCCUGAUUUUUUAUUAAGCAUCUCAGAGGAUACACAAACGAAUCAAAACUUUCAACAACGGAUCUCUUGGUUCUG